UGUAGCAUAAUUUAUUAAUAAAAACGCCUAAAAAUUUAGUGAUUUAUACUUUAGAUUGUGUGUGUGUGUGUGUUUGCGCACGUGAAAGAGAAAUUAAUUUCUGAAUUUGUCAUGUGCAUAAUGUCUCCAGAUCCAUUUACAUAGCUGAUUUAGUAAACGGCAAACUGAGGCCAAGCAGGAUGCUGGUAGUUCGUUUCAUGGAAUGUGAGGCUACAGUACAUGGCAUUAUUGGGAAAGUUCAAGAUGCUCUUGGCAGUUAUGAUCCUGUAAUUCUCACCGAUGCCCAGGGCAAUGAGAUACUUGACUCUGAAGGAACUAAAGGUGCAUAUUUGUCAAUUUGUUUGCAUUUUUAAUCUGUUUUAAACAUCAAAAGUAAUAUGACAAUUUUUCAUGACAUGUCACCUCCACGUACUCAGGAUUCAUCUACUGGAAUCAAAAUGCCCGCAAGGUAUUUGCCAUUGCAGAGCACGACUUCACAGAAUUUCAAGGCAGCAAGAGGAAAAGAAGCUCAAGUCAGAAAGAUGAUGAAACAUCAAGUCUACAAGAUGUCUAUGAUAAGAUAGAAGAAGUGGUGCUGGCGUCACAGGGCCUUCAGCAAGUUAUCUCAACUAUCAAAGAGCUUUCUGAGCUGUCCAGUCAAACACCUGCCAAAACCUUGACUGAAGUCCAAACAGAGAAAUUAAAAGCAGCUUUCACUUGCAUAGUCUGCAAAGGACCCAUUGAUCAACCAGUAUUUGCCACCUUCUGUAGAAGCCUGAUCGGAUGCAAACUUUGUGUUGAUCAAUGGAUGGCUACUUCAUCACAGUGCUUAAAAUGCAGAGAGGAAGCUCUUAGCAACCAC